AUAUCUUCCAUUUCUUUAACCUGUUAUUUCAGUUGCAGCCCUGGCAGUAGGAAGCCAUCGUGGGAGCGAAUGAAAAAAUAAAAAAAUAUAAUUCGAAAUGAUGUGUCGCAUUGGGAACACACGGCUCAACAAGCCGACAAAUAGCCUAAAUGUAAUUCCCUCC